AGAAUCAACGCUGGCGGCGUGCCUAACACAUGCAAGUCGAACGAGAAAGUGGAGCAAUCCAUGAGUAAAGUGGCGACCGGGUGAGCAACACGUGACUAACCUACCCUCGAGUGGGGAAUAACUACCGGGAACCGGGGCUAAUACCGCAUAACAUCUUCGGAACGCGAGUUCUGUUGAUCAAAGGAGCAAUUCGCUCGAGGGAGGGGUCGCGGCCGAUUAGUUAGUUGGCGGGGUAAUGGCCCACCAAGACGAUGAUCGGUA
rnacentral:rRNA from 1 species